GCUAAAGUGAUGAUGUGUCAAUCU
rnacentral:siRNA from 1 species